rnacentral:lncRNA from 1 species
CCGAGAUCAUGCCACUGCACUCUAGUCUGGGCAACAGAGCGAGACUCAGUCUCAAAAAUAAAUACAUACAUACAUGCAAAAAUAAAAAAUAAAACAAAAACAAAUUAAAAUUUUUUCUUUUAAUUAUUAUUCAUUCAGUUGAAAACUCAUUUCAUUUAAAAAACAAAGAUCAUUUUAAUGCAGGGUAAGGAUGUGUGUGUGUGUGUGUGUGCGUGUGUGCAGGGGAGGCUAGUGCAAUCUGGGGAAGGAUGGGGUGAGGUGGCAGAAGGGACAGGGACCCAAGGAAGGAAGGGAGAGGAGGGACUGGACUUAAGAAAUUUUGUAAAAGAGUCAACAGGAUGUGGGGGUGAGCAGCAGGCGGGGCACACAUGACUGAGGUCUGCAGUCUGAAGAUGCCUGUAACCUAGAUAGGAGAUGAUUAUCUUUUAGCAUAUGCUAAACGUUUAAGAUAAUGGCCAUGGUGCCGUGCACAGUGGCUCAGACCAUAGCAGGACUCCAGUCUUAGUCCCAGUUAGGUGAAGACUAAGAGGGCACAGAAAUGGGAUUGGGGUGCAGGGGGCAGGAGUGACCCAGAGUGCAUUGAGGGUGGGAGCAUGUGGCAUGUGGGACCUGCCUCUCUCCAUAGGUCCCAGAUGGGUUUGGCGGCUGUAGCUUCAAGACUAACAGGACCUGCUGGACCAUUUGGGAUGCAGAUUUUGGAAGGGAAACUGAGACAAAUUCUUUAUUUUCUUUUCUUUCUUUUUUUUUUUUUUGAGAUGGAGUCUCGCUCUGUUGCCCAGGCUGGAGGGCAGUGGCGCAAUCUCGGCUCACUGCAAGCUCCUUCUCCCAGGUUCAUGCCAUUUUCCUGCCUCAGCCUCCCGAGCAGCUGGGACUACAGGCGCCCGCCACCACGCCCGGCUACUUUUUUGUAUUUUUAGUAGAGACAAGGUUUCCCCAUGUUAGCCAGGAUGGUCUCGAUCUCCUGACCUUGUGAUCUGCCCGCCUCGGCCUCCCAAAGUGCUAGGAUUACAGGUGUGAGGCACCGCGCCCACCUCCUCCCUCCCUCCCUCCCUUCCUUCCUUUCUUUUUUUCUGAGACAGGGUCUUGCUCUGUUGCCCAGGCUGGAGUGCAGUGGCAUGAUCUCGGCUCACGGCAGCCUCUGCCUCCCGGGUUCAAGUGAUUCUCCUGCUUCAGCCUUCCCAGUAGCUGGGAUUACAGGCAGGCACCACCACACCCGGCUUUUUUUUUUUUCUUUUUUAAAUUUUUAGUAGAAACAGGGUUUUGCUGUGUUAUCCAGGCUGGUCUUGAACUCCUGGUCUCACGUGAUCUGCCCGCCUCAGCCUCCCAAAGUGCUGGGAUUACAGGCGUGAGCCACUGCGCCCAGCCCAAACUGGGACAAAUUCAAGCUUUAUGGUCACAUAUGAAUGCAAGGCAUGGCUCUGUGCAGUCUUGGGUCAGUGAACCUCUCUGAACCUCCAUUGUUCCACCUGUAAGAUGGGGUCCUUCACAGCUCCUACCUCACAGGGCUGUGAAAACAUCGUCCUUGUUGGGCACUUAGUAAGUUAACUCGUGCUUUCACCUGGCAAAGGUUUAUUGCCUUAGUGAUGACAGAAUGAGCAAAGUCA